rnacentral:snoRNA from 1 species
ACCCUUCUGAUUCCUUACCCAUAUGACCUAAACACUGGUCUGAGUGGUUGUCAAAGGAAGAAAAUAAAAUUGAAAUGGACUUAAAUACUUUCAUGAUACAGGUGCUGGUUUCAAAUAAAC